rnacentral:snRNA from 2 species
GUGCUCACUUCGGCAGCACAUAUACUAAAAUUGGAACAAUACAGAGAAGAUUAGUAUGGCUUCUGCGCAAGGAUGACACGCAAAUUCGUGAAGCAUUCCAUAUUUAA